UACGUAGGGGGCAAGCGUUGUCCGGAUUUAUUGGGCGUAAAGAGCUCGUAGGCGGUUUGGUAAGUCUGGUGUGAAAUCUCCACGCUCAACGUGGAGGGGCCACCCGAUACUGCCAUGACUGGAGUCCGGUAGAGGAGUGUGGAAUUCCCGGUGUAGCGGUGAAAUGCGCAGAUAUCGGGAGGAACACCAGUAGCGAAGGCGGCUCGCUGGGCCAUUCCUGACGCUGAGACGCGAAAGCUAGGGGAGCGAACAGG
rnacentral:rRNA from 1 species